UACGAAGGGGGCUAGCGUUGCUCGGAAUCAUUGGGCGUAAAGGGCGCGUAGGUGGUUCUGUGUGUCUACCGUGAAAGCGUACGGCUCAACCGUAUUUUGUCGGUAGAAACUGCAGGACUUGAGGCUGGGAGGGGCUGGUGGAAUUCCCUGUGUAGCGGUGAAAUGCGUAGAGAUGGGGGAGAACACUCGUGGCGAAGGCGGCCAGCUAGACCAGUUCUGACACUGAGGCGCGACAGCGUGGGGAGCAAACAGG
rnacentral:rRNA from 1 species